UACAGAGGGGGCAAGCGUUGUUCGGAAUUACUGGGCGUAAAGGGUGCGUAGGCGGCGCGGUAAGUCGGGUGUGAAAUCUCGGAGCUUAACUCCGAAACUGCAUUCGAUACUGCCGUGCUUGAGGACUGGAGAGGAGACUGGAAUUUACGGUGUAGCGGUGAAAUGCGUAGAUAUCGUAAGGAAGACCAGUGGCGAAGGCGGCUCACUGGCCCGAUACUGACGCUGAGGCACGAAAGCGUGGGGAGCAAACAGG
rnacentral:rRNA from 1 species